AUGUGUUUGCUGUUGUUGUUUUCGCUAGACCACCAGCGUCAACUUUUGGCAUGUUUAUAAGGAGCUGUGUGUGUGUGUGUCAUAAACAAAGCAAUGAGCCAGGCAAAACUGCGAACUGGACAAAUUUCUGUUGCGUCUUGUCGCCAGUUAAAGUCCCUGCGGCACAAAGAUCGGAAGUUCUUCUGGCAGAAGCGUGGCAGCUACCAGCGGCAGGAAAUGCAGAUGGACAUGGAUACGGAAAGAAAGCUUAAGAGAUCUUAAACGAGGUCAACACGAACACAAACACAAACACAAAUACACAUGCAACAAUUGGCCAAGAUAUUAGUACGUAUUACGUAUUGUUUAGUUUGCACAUUAAAACAAUUGAAUAUCAACAAAUAAUAUUCUCUAUUGUCUUUUACGGCCCUUUUGAAUUGUCAACUAAAAUACAAAAUGAAAUUUGUUUGAUUGGAACAGGAAGACAGACACACACACACGCGCACGCAGGAGCACGAACCAAAAUACGCUCAACUUGUCAGACGAUACAACAACCGAAACGGGGCACGCGCGUUUGCAUAAUGACUUGAGUCGGGUUUAGUUUUAUGCCAAUUGCAGUUGACGCUUUUCGCGCUGCCAACGUCGCUGCUUCCCGAUGUUGUUGUUGCUGUCGCAGCUCUGGCCAGCAAAAUAGUCUGGGCAAAAAAUCUCAAGAUGCGCUGUCAGUUGGCAGCGCAUGCAUUCAAAUAUCAGCAGACACACUUACAUACAAUUACUUCAUAUAUUGUACAUAAUCGUGCUAAAACAACAACACCAGAAGAAGAAGAACGGCUACAAUAUUUGACAGCAAACAAAACAGAAAACACUUUCAAAUAAUAAACACAUAUUUAGCUCACAUCAGAUCAACUGCCCGCAAA